AUAUUGGUCAAUGGAUGCAACUCUGAACCAGCCAUGCCGCGUGCAUGACGACGGUCAUAGUGUUUGUAAACUGUUUUUGUACAGGAAGAAAAAGAGGUACGUGUAGCUUAUUGAUGGUCCUGUAAGAAUUAGGAUCGGCUAACUCCGUUCCAGCAUUCGCGGUAAUACGUAUGUUACAAGCGUUAUCCAGAAUCAUUGGGUUUAAAGGUUCCGUAGGCGGCCUUAUAAGUCAGCGGUGAAAGUUUUUGGCUUAACCAAAAAAUUGCCGUUGAUACUGUAGGGCUUGAAUUUUUGUGAAGUAACUAGAAUAUGUAGUGUAGCGGUGAAAUGCUUAGAUAUUACAUGGAAUACCAAUUGCGAAGGCAGGUUACUAACAAACGAUUGACGCUGAUGGACGAAAGCGUGGGUAGCGAACA
rnacentral:rRNA from 1 species